UUGGCUGUGGGAGCACAUGAGGCCCAGGCCAGACCAGGGGGCCCGUGAGGCCCCCAGGGGUCAGCGCGGUGUCCCCGGGCAGCCCUGGCCUCUCAUCCUGCUGGGCCUGGCAGUGGGCGCCCACGGCCUGCUGCUCCCGACGGCGGCGCCUCAGAGCACGGCCCCCCGCAUGGAGGCCCCGGCAGGAAAGAGCCCGUGGAGCCUGUGGGGCAGGUUCCCACUCCGGCCCGACCCCAGGGGGACAGGCCCCAGGUGCUGGCCUGGCGUCUGGUCUGAGGCUUCCUUACCGUGGUAUGUCUUUGGCAGCGGGACCGAGGUCACCAUCUCAGGUCGGCCCAAGUCCGCACCCUCGGUCACCCUGUUCCCGCCCUCCACGGAGGAACUCAGCACCAACAUGGCCACCCUGGUGUGUCUCAUCAGCGACUUCUACCCGGGCAACGUGACCGUGGCCUGGAAGGCAGACGGCACCCCCGUCACCCGGGGCGUGGUGACGAGCCAGGCCUCCAAACAGAGCAACAGCAAGUACGUGGCCAGCAGCUACCUGACCCUGACGGGCAGCGAGUGGAACCCAAAAAGCAGUUACAGCUGCGAGGUCACGCACGAGGGGAGCACCGUGACGAAGACAGUGAAGCCCUCCGAGUGUUCUUAGGGCCCUGGGCCCC